GACGAACGCUGGCGGCGUGCUUAACACAUGCAAGUCGAACGGAAAGGCCCUGCUUUUGUGGGGUGCUCGAGUGGCGAACGGGUGAGUAACACGUGAGUAACCUGCCCUUGACUUUGAGAUAACUUCAGGAAACUGGGGCUAAUACCGGAUAGGAGCUCCUGCUGCAUGGUGGGGGUUGGAAAGUUUCGGCGGUUGGGGAUGGACUCGCGGCUUAUCAGCUUGUUGGUGGGGUAGUGGCUUACCAAGGCUUUGACGGGUAGCCGGCCUGAGAGGGUGACCGGCCACAUUGGGACUGAGAUACGGCCCAGACUCCUACGGGAGGCAGCAGUGGGGAAUAUUGCACAAUGGGCGGAAGCCUGAUGCAGCAACGCCGCGUGCGGGAUGACGGCCUUCGGGUUGUAAACCACUUUCGCCUGUGACGAAGCGUGAGUGACGGUAAUGGGUAAAGAAGCACCGGCUAACUACGUG
rnacentral:rRNA from 1 species